rnacentral:rRNA from 2 species
AAUGAACGCUGGCGGCGUGCCUAACACAUGCAAGUCGGAUGUGCCCGCAAGGGUGCAUGGCAGACGGGUGAGUAACGCGUGGGGAACCUACCUCUUUGUGGGGAAUAACGUUCCGAAAGGAAUGGUAAUACCGCAUGAGACCUUCGGCUGGGAUGCUGGAGGUGAAACCCGGGGACCGUAAGGCCUGGGGCAAGGAGAGGGUCCUGCGUCUGAUUAGCUAGUUGGCGGGGUAAUGGCCCACCAAGGCGACGAUCAGUAGCCGGCCUGAGAGGGUGAUCGGCCACACUGGAACUGAGACACGGUCCAGACUCCUACGGGAGGCAGCAGUGGGGAAUUUUGCGCAAUGGACGAAAGUCUGACGCAGCAACGCCGCGUGGGUGAUGAAGGUCUUCGGAUUGUAAAACCCUGUCGUCAGGGACGAAGGUUGGGGCUUUAAUAGAGUUUCAACUUGACGGUACCUGGAGAGGAAGCCCCGGCUAACUCUGUG